rnacentral:lncRNA from 1 species
UUUUUUUUUUUUUUUUUUUUUUUUUUUUUUCCCACUGUACAGCAAAGGGGUCAGGUUAUCCUUACAUGUAUACAUUACAAUUACAGUUUUUCCCCCAACCUUUCUUCUGUUGCAACAUGAGUAUCUAGACAUAGUUCUCAAUGCUAUUCAGCAGGAUCGUGUGUUUUGUUUGUUUUCAAUUCCACAGAUCAGUGCGAUCAUUCAGUAUUUGUCUUUCUCUGACUUUUUCACCUAGCGUAAUUCCUUCGAGAUCCAUUCAUUUUGUUACAAAUGGCAGAAUUUCCUUCUUUUUAUGGCUGAAUAAUAUUCCAUUAUUUAUAUAUAUAUAUGUAUGUAUACCUAUCAAUCUUAUCUAUCUGUCUCUCUAUCUAUCUAUCCACCCAUUUAUUCAUUCAUCAAUGGACCCUUAGGUUGUUUCCAUGUCUUGGUUACUGUAAAUAAUGCUGUAAUAAACAAGGUGGUACAGAUAUCUUUUCAAGAUAGUGAUUUCUUUUCCUUUGGAUAAAUACUCAGAAGUGGAAUUACUAGGUCACAUGGUAGUUCUAUUUUUAAUUUUUUCAGGAAACUCCAUACUGCUUCCCUCAGUGUCUGCACCAAUUCACAUUCUCAUCAAUAUUGUACAAGGGUUCCCUUUUCUCCACAUCCUCUCCAACACAUGUUACUCUUUUUUUUUUUUUUUUUUUUUUGUCUUUUUGCCUUUUCUAGAGCCACUCCUGCGGCAUAUGAGGUUGCCAGGCUAGAGGUCUAAUUGGAGCUGUAGCCGCUGGCCUAUACCAGAGCCACAGCAAUGCCAGAUCCGAGCCACGUCUGCGACCUACACCACAGCUCAUGGCAAUGCCAGAUCCUUAACCCACUGAGCAAGGCCAGGGAUCCAACCCGCAACCUCAUGGUUCCUUGUCAUAUUCGUUAAGUGCUGAGCCACGACAGGAACUUCUGCUAUUUUUGGAUAAUAGUCAUUCUAACAGCUGUGAGGUAAUAUUUCAUUGUGGUUUUGAUUUGCAUUUCCUUGAUGAUUAGUUAUACUGAGUAUCUUUUCAUGCAUCUGUUGGCCAUCUGUAUGUCUUCUUUGGAAAAAUAUCUAUUCAGUUCAUUUGCCUAUUUUUUAAUCAGAUUGUUUUAUUUUUCUGUUGAGUCAAAUGAGUACUUUAUGUAUUUUGCCUAUUAACGCUUUAUUAGAUAGAUGAUUUGCAAAUAUUUUCUCCAUUCUGUAAGUUGCUUUUUAAUUUUGUUGAUUUCCUUUGCUGUUCAAACUAAAAGCUUUUUAGUUUGAAGUACUUCCACUUGUUUAUUUUUGCUUUUGUUGCCUUUGCUCUUGAUAUAAAAUCUAAAAGGUCAUUACCAAGACCAAUGUCAAGGAGCUGUUUUGUUCUAGGAGUCUUAUGGUUUCAGGACUUAAUGUUCAGGUCUUUAAUCUAUUUUUAGUUGACUUUUGUGUAUGGUGUAAGAUGAGGUCCAGUUCCACACUUCUGCAUGUGACUAUCCAAUACUCCCAUUCAUUGAGGAGACUCUUCAACAUUUAUUGAAGAGACCAUUCCUUCUCCAUUGUAAAGUUUUGGCUGAAAAGUCUUCAUUAAGGACAGUAUUUUGGGCAAAGGGAUCAGGAUGACACAUUAAAAGGACAUGGAGCUAACCUUCCCCUACAAAUUCAUCAAAAAUAAAUCUACAUGUGGAAAAAUUCUCACGGAAAAAUAACUGGAAUGGCAGAACUAUAAGAUCUCCCUGUUACUGGGUAUGAUGAAAAAAAGGCAUCAGGUUGGGACCUGCACCCUUGAACAGAAGAGAAGGUCCACACAGGUAGACUCUUGCCCUGGGGAGCAAGGAGAUGGAACAAUUAUGGGCACCUUAGUUCUAGGGUCCUGAGCAGAGAAGACAACCCAUUUUGGCUGCUGGGAAAACCACUGGGACAGACAGAAUGGAUAGAGCCAAGACUAGGCUCUACUCAUGAGGAGUGUGUGCAUGAUGACUUGCCAACAAUCAGGGCAGAGAGAGCCUUGAAGUGAUAGCUGCCAGAUUGCUAUACUUUCCGAUCCAAUGGGGCAAGUACCCAAGCCCUGCUCACUCCUCACUUCAGCUUGGUGCAAGAUCUCGGCCAGCCAGGCCCUGAGAAAAGACUCAGUAUAGCUAUGGAGAGACAGACUGGGGGCCUGGUGGUGACCUGGGUGGGGCAGCAGUGGCCACUGUCAGCACACACAUGGGGAGGUGCUAUAGGAGUGUGCUGCAGUUCAUCUCCCAGAGUGCACUGGCACCGCCCACUCCACACUGCAGGUUAGCCCUGCAUCUGAAGCAGACAGGUCCUGGGAGAAGACUGCCACAGAGGCAUCCCAGUCUCUGGUGGUAGCACAGCCACCUCGAUUCCUAUAGCCACAAGACCCCAAAUCCCAGCCCCAGCCUAGUGAAUGCUCUGGCUCUGCCCACUCCACACCAAGGUCUUGCACUGGAUCUGGAAGGACCAUAACAAAGGGAGAGAUGAGACCUUGGGCUGUGCCUGAGCAGAGCCACAGAUGCCUACAUAGGUGGCAUAUUGAUCCUGUGUGAGUGCAUGAGCCCCACUUGCUUCAGCAAUCACCUCCUUUGGGGCAGAGCAUGAACUUAAGGGAAUGGAGCCUGAUUGAGCCUGACCCUCAGGGCUUCUAUUCCAACAACUGGGGAGCAGACCCAACCCCGACAAGGUGGUGACUGCCACAGAGCAGAGAGGAAGUCCUGCCUCACAUCCUGCACAGGCAUCCCCCAACACCAACCACACCCCAUCAUGGUGAUAACGUCCAGAAAACCUUGAGGAAAGACGUGGCUAUCAUCCAUAUCAAAAAUAGGCCUUGUAUCAAAGACAUUGGACACACACAGUCUACACAGGGAUGCGCCCACAUAAAAAAAUCCCUUCAGGACCACACUAGAAGGAGUUCCCUUCAUGGCUCAGUGGUUAACGAACCCAACUAGGAUCCAUGAAGUCGAGGGUUCGAUCCCUGGCCUCACUCAGUGGGUUAAAGAUCCAGCAUUGCUGUGAGCUGUGGUGCAGGUCACAGACAUAGCUCAGAUUCUGCAUUGCUAUGGCUGUGCGUAGGCCAGCAGCUAUAACUCUGAUUUGACCCCUAGCC